rnacentral:rRNA from 1 species
AAUCCUGGCUCAAGACGAACGCUGGCGGCGUGCCUAAUACAUGCAAGUCGAGCGGACCGGAUCGGAGCUUGCUCUGGUUUGGUCAGCGGCGGACGGGUGAGUAACACGUGGGCAACCUGCCCGCAAGACCGGGAUAACUCCGGGAAACCGGGGCUAAUACCGGAUAACACCGAAGACCGCAUGGUCUUUGGUUGAAAGGCGGCCUUUGGCUGUCACUUGCGGAUGGGCCCGCGGCGCAUUAGCUAGUUGGUGAGGUAACGGCUCACCAAGGCGACGAUGCGUAGCCGGCCUGAGAGGGUGACCGGCCACACUGGGACUGAGACACGGCCCAGACUCCUACGGGAGGCAGCAGUAGGGAAUCUUCCGCAAUGGGCGAAAGCCUGACGGAGCGACGCCGCGUGAGCGAAGAAGGCCUUCGGGUCGUAAAGCUCUGUUGUGAGGGACGAAGGAGCGCCGUUCGAAGAGGGCGGCGCGGUGACGGUACCUCACGAGAAAGCCCCGGCUAACUACGUGCCAGCUGCCGCGGUAAUACGUAGGGGGCGAGCGUUGUCCGGAAUUAUUGGGCGUAAUGCGCGCGCAGGCGGUUCCUUUUUUCUGAUGUGAAAGCCCACGGCUCAUCCGUGGAGGGU